GACGAACGCUGGCGGCGUGCUUAACACAUGCAAGUCGAACGGAAAGGCCCCUUUGGGGGUACUCGAGUGGCGAACGGGUGAGUAACACGUGAGUAACCUGCCCUUGACUUCGGGAUAACUUCAGGAAACUGGGGCUAAUACCGGAUAGGAAUCCUUGCUGCAUGGUGGGGGUUGGAAAGCUUCGGCGGUUUUGGAUGGACUCGCGGCUUAUCAGCUUGUUGGGGGGUAGUGGCUUACCAAGGCUUUGACGGGUAGCCGGCCUGAGAGGGCGACCGGCCACAUUGGGACUGAGAUACGGCCCAGACUCCUACGGGAGGCAGCAGUGGGGAAUAUUGCACAAUGGGCGGAAGCCUGAUGCAGCAACGCCGCGUGCGGGAUGACGGCCUUCGGGUUGUAAACCGCUUUCAGCAGGGGCGAAGCUUGUGGUGACGGUACCUGCAGAAGAAGCACCGGCUAACUACGUG
rnacentral:rRNA from 1 species